rnacentral:ncRNA from 1 species
GGUCGGGUAGCGAGCAGUCUAUACAACACCUGCUUUGGUGGGGAAAACUGCUGGCCGUCUCUAUUCGGUGUUGAAGUACCCGACCACCCUAUC